rnacentral:pre_miRNA from 1 species
UCAUUUAGGGAUUGAUCCAAAGCCCAUUGAAAUCAAUGGGAGUCUUCCAAUUGACUUCAGUGGGUUUUGGAUCAGUGCCCUAGCUCA